UAGGGAAUCUUCGGCAAUGGGGGCAACCCUGACCGAGCAACGCCGCGUGAGUGAAGAAGGUUUUCGGAUCGUAAAGCUCUGUUGUAAGAGAAGAACGUGUGUGAGAGUGGAAAGUUCACACAGUGACGGUAACUUACCAGAAAGGGACGGCUAACUACGUGCCAGCAGCCGCGGUAAUACGUAGGUCCCGAGCGUUGUCCGGAUUUAUUGGGCGUAAAGCGAGCGCAGGCGGUUUAAUAAGUCUGAAGUUAAAGGCAGUGGCUUAACCAUUGUUCGCUUUGGAAACUGUUAAACUUGAGUGCAGAAGGGGAGAGGGGAAUUCCAUGUGUAGCGGUGAAAUGCGUAGAUAUAUGGAGGAACACCGGUGGCGAAAGCGGCUCUCUGGUCGGUAACUGACGCUGAGGCUCGAAAGCGUGAGGAGCAAACAGG
rnacentral:rRNA from 1 species